UACGAAGGGGGCGAGCGUUGUUCGGAAUCACUGGGCGUAAAGCGCACGCAGGCGGCUCGUUAAGUCAGGGGUGAAAUCCCGAGGCUCAACCUCGGAACUGCCUUUGAUACUGGCGGUCUCGAGUCCGGGAGAGGUGAGUGGAACUGCGAGUGUAGAGGUGAAAUGCGUAGAUAUUCGCAAGAACACCAGUGGCGAAGGCGGCUCACUGGCCCGGUACUGACGCUGAGGUGCGAAAGCGUGGGGAGCAAACAGG
rnacentral:rRNA from 1 species